rnacentral:misc_RNA from 1 species
UUUGAAAGUUAUUUCACUUUUAAACAAAUAAUUUUACAUCUAAGACAUAGCCAUUAAUGCUGAUAUGAAGCAUGAUAAAAACAAAUUAUAUAAAGAUAUCAAAUUGAUAUUAAAUGAAGAUUUUACAGAUAGAGAAUUAUUUAUUUAAGUAAGGAAAAGGAUAGUGCAUGGAUUUAUUUAUAUUUAAUAAAUGACGACUAUCUGCGAUGUUAUAUCUACUGAUUAACUUAACAUGACUGUUGUACAAGUGUCACAAUGUCUUGAUUUGCAUGUAUAUGUAGGCAUGAUUUUACACAAUUUCUAACUGUAUAAUGCUUUAAUUGUGUUUUAAUUUAGAUGUACAAUAGAAUAGAAAUGAAACAAAAUAAAUGAAGUAACAAAUU